GAACCCUUCAAAGCCUAAUGCAUUCAGGAGCAGGCAUGUUCUUCAGGCUGCUCAGUCUAUUUCAGAGGAAGAAUCAUGUACAUGCAGAGACCAGAACAAGGCAGAAUGGGACAAGCCUUCUAUGAUGUUGGAGAACAAGAUGAAAGAAAUGGUCCUGGGAAAACCCAGUGAAACUUGGACCAGGUGUUUGGUCAAAAGGCAUCAUCCCAACACUCUACAACCCUUAAUGAGGACAGAAUGAAGCAUUUGGAGAAUCUGAAUGUUGAUCUACACAAGAUGCAAAAUGAGAGAGAAGAUCUCCUGGGGAUCCUCUCAUAUUACCCCAGAAAGGACUUAAAUGACAGGUAGUCACAAUGGAAGUUCUUUGUUGACGGUGUUGACAUGUCUGUUUCACCUACAUUUCCUCACAUCAUAGUAGGGUACAACUCAAGUGUGUCCUCAUGGUCAAAAUUAUUUUCCUGAUUGCAUCUUAAACACAGAAUAUGAAGUUCAGAUAGUAGUGAUACAGGAGAACAGACUAUUUUGAUUCCUCAAAAAGUAAAUCAUAUCCUGUGACCUGAA